rnacentral:rRNA from 1 species
AAUAAAAAAUCUCUUUUCUUUAAUAAUUAUAAAGAAUAUAUAAUUAUUCAAUUUUAAAAAUUCAUUAAAAAUCAAAUUUUAGUAAUAAAAAUAAAAAAAAAAUAAAAGAUUACCUUUUGUAUAAGGGUUUUUAGAAUAAUAUAUGAUUUAUAAUUUAUAGAAAAUUCAAGAUCUUUAAAUUUUUUUUUAAAAUAAAAUAAAAUCAAAAAUUUUUAAAGGGGUAAUACGCUAUCGUUUGAAUAUUUAUCUAAAUAGACAAAAAUUAAAAAUAGUAAAUAUUUUUAUUAUUAUUGAAUAAAUUUUUAAAUAUUCUUUAAAGGUAAGUUUACGUUGUUAUAACAAAACAUUUUAUUAUUAUAUUUAAUUAUUAUAUUAUAAAAAUAUUAAAUUAAAAAAUUAGUAUAAAUAUUAUAAAAUUUUUAUAUUUAAUAAAAUUAAAUAAUAAAAAAUAAAAAAAAUUUAUUCAUUAAAUUAUUAGACUGUUUAACAAAAUCUUAUUUAUAAUUUUUAUAAUCUAUUCUGCUCAAUGAAAUUAUUUAAAUAGCUGUUAAUAACACUAAGGUAGCGAAAUCAUUAGCUACCUAAUUGGUAACUUGUAUGAAGGGACUAACUAAAAAUUUAUUUUGUAAAAAAUAUAAAUUAUAAAAUUGUUGAAAAUAACAAUAUUUAUUCCAAGACAAAAAGACCCUAGAAUUUUAAUGAAAAUUUUCAUUUAGUUGGGGAAAUAAAAUUAAUAAAAUAAAAAUAAAAAAAUUUAUAAAAGAACUUUUUAUAAAGAAAAAUUGACUAAAUACUCUAGGGAUAACAGCUUUAUAUUUUUUAAGAGAACUUAUUAAAAUAAAAGUUUAAGACCUCGAUGUUGGAUAAAAGUUUUUAUUAAGCGCAGAAGCUUAAAAAAAUGGAUUGUUCAUCCAUUAAAUCUUUACUUGAUCUGAGUUAAAGUCGGCGUGAGCCAGACUGGUUUUUAUCUGGAAUAAAAUUAUAUAAAUAAACAGUACGAAAGGACAAUUAUUUUUUCUUAAAGAAAUUUAUAUUAA